AUAUUCCAUCCAAUUUUAUUGCUCAGAAAGCAAAAGAAGUCAACUUUCUUUCACAAAAUAAUAAUUCAAUUUAGGGUUUCUAUGAAGGGACACAAUCCAAUUGAGGUGGCGAAGACGGUGUUGGAGGUGGCCGAUGUAGCAUGGUCGGCGGUGGAACGCUGUCAUCACCAUACCCACAGUCAUACUGAUACGACGUCGUUUGAUGUAUCUCAUAGUUGUGAAGAAGAUGGAUUGAGAUCUUUGAGGUCUGAAAACGAACGGCUCAAACGGUUGCUUGAAAAAAAUCUUAUGCUUCUUCAGAGCAUGUCACAAUCUCCUUCCUUACUUCAAAAUUGUCCACCUGAUCUUCAUGAACGUCUCUUAGCCGCUGUGGAAUCCGGAAGCUUUUUGAAACAGCUGGAAACACUGAAUCGGAAAUCUGUUGAUGGGAAUGACUGUCAAUUUCCUUUCAAGGAGGCAACUGAUGUUGACACGGAGACAGCAGAACUUCUGGUGAACAUGAGUCUUGAAGAACCAAGUUGGUGGGUUUGGGUGACUGAGGAUAUGGUCCCUGGCAAUCUUGAAGAAAGAAGCGAAAUAGAUAAUGAUAACUAUGUGAUUGUUAGUGAGGAAUAUGUUGUAGAUGCAGUUGCCAACUUUAUGGCUAGAUGCGUAGUAUCCAAUUCGAAGGCUCAGAAGAUGUCUCCUGAAGAACUGCAAAAGACCCUGGCAAAAGCAUUCGAAGGCAUUGGUAAAGUAGAAACAUUGUUCAACAUUUGGCAUGCCGCGCAAAUGUUCUACGUCCUUUCGACUUGGGGACUUGCAGUUGUGGGGUGAGCACUCAUUUAUUAUUUCUUUAUUUCGUGUGUUUCCAAUCUUAGAAGACAUAACAAUACCUCAGUAGUCCGUCCCGAAUAAGUUUGGCAUUGGUAAAGUAGAAACAUUGUUCAACAUUUGGCAUGCCGCGCAAAUGUUCUACGUCCUUUCCACUUGGGGACUUGCAGUUGUGGGGUUGUACAAGAGCCGAUCUGUUAUUAGACUUGCUGCUAAAGGGGUUCACAAGACAGGCAAAAUGGUUCUGAAGGUUCUUUGAAGAUGCCUCUGCUGUGUUGGUUAUGAAUUAAGCAUCGUGUAAAUGUUUUUACUUAUUGUACAGUCUAGUAUAUCAGAAUAACAUUAUGCUUGACUUCCAAUUCGUCUGUCUGAGAAUAUUGUUAAUAGUAUGCAAUUUGAAAAGUGCCUCUGUUGAGAUUGCAUUCGCGUCA